UACGUAGGGUGCGAGCGUUGUCCGGAAUUAUUGGGCGUAAAGGGCUCGUAGGCGGUUUGUCGCGUCGGGAGUGAAAACCCAGGGCUUAACCCUGGGCUGGCUUCCGAUACGGGCAGACUAGAGGUAUGCAGGGGAGAACGGAAUUCCUGGCGUAGCGGUGAAAUGCGCAGAUAUCAGGAGGAACACCGAUGGCGAAGGCAGGUCUCUGGGCAUUAACUGACGCUGAGGAGCGAAAGCAUGGGGAGCGAACAGG
rnacentral:rRNA from 1 species